rnacentral:rRNA from 1 species
AGCAGCCGCGGUAAUUCCAGCUCCAAUAGCGUAUAUUAAAGUUGUUGCAGUUAAAAAGCUCGUAGUUGAAUUUCGGGAUCAGUGGGUCGGUCGUGCCACUGGUAUGCACUGGCCCUACUGGUUCCUCCUUCUUGAAGAACUGUAAUGCCAUUAAUUUGGUGUUGCAGGGAAACAGGACUGUUACUUUGAAAAAUUAGAGUGUUUAAAGCAGGCAAUCGCUUGAAUACAUUAGCAUGGAAUAAUGAAAUAGGACGAUCGAUCCUAUUUUGUUGGUUUCUAGGAUUGACGUAAUGAUUAAUAGGGAUAGUUGGGGGCAUUAGUAUUCAAUUGUCAGAGGUGAAAUUCUUGGAUUUAUUGAAGACUGACUACUGCGAAAGCAUUUGCCAAGGAUGUUUUCAUUAAUCAAGAACGAAAGUUAGGGGAUCGAAGACGAUCAGAUACCGUCGUAGUCUUAACCAUAAACUAUGACCGACUAGGGAUCGGAUGAUGUUUUAAUUUUUAAUGUACUCUACG